UACGGAGGUGGCAAGCGUUGUUCGGAAUUACUGGGCGUAAAGGGCGCGUAGGCGGCCUGACAAGUCAGAUGUGAAAGCCCCGGGCUCAACUCGGGAAUUGCAUCUGAAACUGUUUGGCUUGAGUUCUGGAGGGGAUGGUGGAAUUCCCAGUGUAGCGGUGAAAUGCGUAGAUAUUGGGAGGAACACCUGCGGCGAAGGCGGCCAUCUGGACAGUGACUGACGCUGAGGCGCGAAAGCUAGGGGAGCGAACGGG
rnacentral:rRNA from 1 species